rnacentral:tRNA from 1 species
AGCUCAGUCGGUAGAGCAUGGGACUCUUAAUCCCAGGGUCAUGGGUUCGAGGCUUAACCCUAU